AGGACGAACGCUGGCGGCGUGCCUAACACAUGCAAGUGGAGCGACGAACCAGGCUUCGGCCUGGGGCAGAGCCGCGAACGGGUGAGUAACACGUGGGCAACCUGCCCCUAGCUCUGGGAUAACUCCGGGAAACCGGUGCUAAUACCGGAUACGACCUCAUUAGGCAUCCUUUGAGGUGGAAAGAUUUAUCGGCUAGGGGAUGGGCCCGCGGCCUAUCAGCUUGUUGGUGGGGUAACGCCUACCAAGGCGACGACGGGUA
rnacentral:rRNA from 1 species